AUUGAACGCUGGCGGCAGGCCUAACACAUGCAAGUCGAACGAGUGGCGGACGGGUGAGUAAUGUCUGGGAAACUGCCUGAUGGAGGGGGAUAACUACUGGAAACGGUAGCUAAUACCGCAUACCAUCAGCUCUGCCCAGCUGGGAUUAGCUUGUUUGUGGGGUAACGGCUCACCAAGGCGACGAUCCCUAGCUGGUCUGAGAGGAUGACCAGCCACACUGGAACGAAGAAACGGUCAAGACUCGUACGGAAGGCAGCAGUGGGGAACAUUGCAAAAGGGGGGCAAGCCUGAUGCAGCCAUGCCGGGUGUAUGAAGAAGGCCUUCGGGUUGUAAAGUACUUUCAGCGGGGAGGCGUUACCCGAAGAAGAAGCACCGGCUAACUCCGUGCCAGCAGCCGCGGUAAUUC
rnacentral:rRNA from 1 species